rnacentral:rRNA from 1 species
ACGGAGGGUGCAAGCGUUGUCCGGAUUUAUUGGGUUUAAAGGGUGCGUAGGUGGUCAAUUAAGUCAGUGGUGAAAUCCCGCAGCUCAACUGUGGAACUGCCAUUGAUACUGGUUGACUUGAGUACAGAUGAGGUAGGCGGAAUUUAUGGUGUAGCGGUGAAAUGCAUAGAUACCAUAAAGAACACCGAUAGCGAAGGCAGCUUACUAAACUGUAACUGACACUGAGGCACGAAAGCGUGGGGAGCGAACAGG